rnacentral:rRNA from 1 species
UACGUAGGGUGCGAGCGUUAAUCGGAAUUACUGGGCGUAAAGCGUGCGCAGGCGGUUUUGUAAGCCAGAUGUGAAGGCCCCGGGCUCAACCUGGGAAUGGCAUUUGGGACUGCAAGGCUGGAGUUUGGCAGAGGAGACUGGAAUUCCCGGUGUAGCAGUGAAAUGCGUAGAUAUCGGGAGGAACACCGAUGGCGAAAGCAGGUGACUGGACUGCUAUUGACACUGAGCCACGAAAGCUAGGGGAGCAAACAGG